UUUGUAGGACGAGUCCAGUGGGACAAAGACGUCCUCAGAGACGGGCGACUCAGACUUCAUGUCUCCAGACUCAGGACUGAGGACUCAGGCUGGUACCUGUGUGAUGUGAGGACAAACUAUGGUGUGGAAUUUGGUGAAUGUCGGCUCAACGUCUCUGCAGCGAGGAAUUGGCCCGAACCUGAGAGACCCAACAGGGUCAGUUGGGGAAUGAUCUUCCUCUACUGUGGACUGGGACUGACAGCAGCAGUGAUCGCUGUGUGUUUUCUUUGUUGCUUUUUAUUUAUUCACUGUCUUGUCUAAGAAACAAAGUCAAGUGGAAGAUUUAAGAAAAGUUACAGCUCAGCAGGAUCACUGUGAACAGUUUGAUCAGCGUAGCAGAAGGUUAACUCAUCCAUAAAACACAUCCUGCCUUCAUGAUGUUCAGUUAGUGUCCAUUACAUAAGAGUCAGAGGAGAAAAACAAUGGAGUUGAUGAAGGAAACAUUGUUCUUCAUCUUUGUUGUCCAUUAUUUUGACAGGACUUCUCAUCAAACUCUGUCACUUAUAAGACAGAUCUGAAAUCUGCUCUGUGUUCUCUUUACUGAAAUAAUGCUGAGAAACAUGUCGACCUCAUACAACACGUGGAACGACUCUGUGCACUUUAUGUUGUUGCCUUUUUCAUGUAAAGCUCUAUAUGAUGAAUUAGCCCUUAAUAAGAUAUGACAUUAACAUUGACAGUAUAUCCUGUAUAUCCUGUACUGGCCUCCUGCAGGAUGUAAAGAAGAAUCAGGUGAAAUUUAGAGCAGAGAACAUUCACUUUGCGUUGUAUGUUUUUUUUAUGUUCACAUUUCCGUUUGUGUUGUUUUAUUAUCAAGAUUUUAUUUACUUAAUGUCUUCUUGUUGUAAUGCUGCAGUUCAAACUGAAAUGAAGUGCUGCUGUUUGAUUUGUGUUUCUCCAGUCAACAUCCUUCACUGUCAGAUCUCUAAAUGUCACAGCUGGUUCAUUAAAUCACUGUAUGGAGAGUUUUCAUUCUGUGCCUUCUGAACGUUACAGUACACUGCCUCUCCUAAUGUUCUGUUUAUAAUGUGUACAUACGAUAAAUAAAUCUAUUUUUAUAUGAGA